rnacentral:rRNA from 1 species
AUCUAUGGCCAUACUACCCUGAACAUGCCUGAUCUCAUCUGAUCUCAGAAGCUAAGCAGGGUCGGGCCUGGUUAGUACUUGGAUGGGAGAGAGUGAGAGACUGAGAGACAGAAGGA